UUACCAGACUCCUACGGGAGGCAGCAGUGGGGAAUAUUGCACAAUGGGGGAAACCCUGAUGCAGCGACGCCGCGUGAGUGAAGAAGUAAUUCGUUAUGUAAAGCUCUAUCAGCAGGGAAGAAAAUGACGGUACCUGAAGAAGAAGCCCCGGCUAACUACGUGCCAGCGGCCGCGGUAAUACGUAGGGGGCAAGCGUUAUCCGGAUUUACUGGGUGUAAAGGGGGCGCAGACGGCGAUGCAAGCCAGGAGUGAAAGCCCGGGGCCCAACCCCGGGACUGCUCUUGGAACUGCGUGGCUGGAGUGCGGGAGGGGCAGGCGGAAUUCCUGGUGUAGCGGUGAAAUGCGUAGAUAUCAGGAGGAACACCGGCGGCGAAGGCGGCCUGCUGGACCGUAACUGACGUUGAGGCUCGAAAGCGUGGGGAGCAAACAGGAUUAGAUACCCUUGUACAU
rnacentral:rRNA from 1 species